rnacentral:rRNA from 1 species
GACGAACGCUGGCGGCGUGCUUAACACAUGCAAGUCGAACGAUGAAGCCGGGGCUUUUUGUUUUGGUGGAUUAGUGGCGAACGGGUGAGUAAUACGUGAGUAACCUGCCCUUGUCUUUGGGAUAAGCCUGGGAAACUGGGUCUAAUACCGGAUAUUCUGCUUUUGCCGCAUGGUGGAGGUUGGAAAGAUUUUUUGGAUGGGGAUGGGCUCACGGCCUAUCAGCUUGUUGGUGGGGUGAUGGCCUACCAAGGCGUCGAUGGGUAGGGGAACUGAGAGGUUUAUCCCCCACAUUGGUACUGAGACACGGACCAA